rnacentral:lncRNA from 1 species
GUGAGCGCGCCCUAUCGGCUCCCGGCGCGUCAACAUUCCGCGGGCCAGGCCUUGGGGCAGUGCCUGAUGGCUGAGAAGAAUCGCAGAGGACUAGAAAAGGUUUGAGUCUGAAAUUAUCUGGCACAGAGGAUUAGAGCUCAGAAAUAAGUGAUUGCGAAACAGUUCAACUUCCCUGUUAAUGACAACAACAACAACAGCAACACGCUUAUUAAUUCCUAGCUGGAGCAUCAAGCUUAUGAAGAUUUCCAAGUAAGACUUUAUUGUUGACCCUUGUUGAAGAGAACUCUACUUGGCUUCUUUCCUGGCUUUCCUAAAUUGUUCACAUACAAGAUAAACUACCGUCAUUCAGACUUACAGAAGUGAGAAGACAAGCUGAACCAAAUGUAAAAUGGUAGCAAUUUACAGAUGUCAGAACUAACAUGUGGAUGAACUUAGAGAUGGAGAAGAAAGCUGGGCUUUUCCAAAGAGUGGAUCUAUCUGAACUGGAUAGCACUAUUGAACUUUGUUGCAUAUUUUGUGGUAGCUCUAAAACUCCUCUGCUUGCUUACAUACAACCAGACACCAGUGCCUUCUGAAGCUAAUCCAGGCCAUUUUUAUAACCUAAUGCAGUAGCACUUUGCAAUUAGAUGAAGAAGAUCGGUGGGAUUUCUUUCUGUGGUGAUUAAAAUGUGUCAGGGGAAGAAAUCAAGACAAUACUCCAAGUGAAAAAUAUAAAGUCAGUUAUUUCUUUAAUAUUUUGUGUUAUAGUAAUCAUUUUUAUAUUUUGAGCAUACUUUUUCUUGUCUACUUAAAUACUCAAAAUUAAUUAUAAAAUGUAAAUGUAAGCACAAUGAGAUACCAUCUCAUCCCAGUUAAAAUGGCUUUUAUCAAAAAGAUAGGGAAUAAUGAAUACUGGUGGAAGGAUGUGGAGAAUGGGGAACCCUCGUACACUGUCAGUGAGAAUGUAAAUUAGUACAGCCACUAUGGAAAACUGUAUGGAAGUGCCUCCGAAAACAAAGUAGAACUACCAUGUGAUCCAGCAAUUACACUAGUGGGUAUAUAUUCAAAAGAAAGGAAAUCAACAUAUCAAAGAGAUAGCUGCAUUCUCAUGUUUAUUGAAGUCCUGUUGAAAUAGCCAAAAUAUGGAAUCAACCUAAGUGCCCAUCAGUGGAUGAAUGGUUAAAGAAAAUGUGAUUGAUAUGCAAUGGAAUAUUAUUCAGCCAUAAAAAAGAAUGAAAUCCUGGCGGGGCACAGUGGCUCAUGCAAGUAAUCCCAGCACUGACCUCAUGAAGACAGAGAGUAGAUUGGUGGUUACCAGAGGUUGAGAAGGGGAGAGGAGAGGAGGGAUGAAGAGAGGUUGAUUGAUGGAUACAAAUAUACAGUUUGAUAAUGAUAAAUCAGUAGGGUGACUAUAGUUUAUAAUAACCUAUUGUAUGGUUCAAAAUAGCUAAAAGAGAAUAAUUGAAAUAACGUAAGACAAAAAUUUAAGAUGAUAGAUAUCCCAAUUACACUGAUUUGAUCUUUACAAAUUAUAUGAAUGUAUUAAAUUAUUACAUGUAUCCCCA